GACAGCCACGGACUGUAACGCCCGAAUCUGGCCUCUCGACAAGACUAGACCCGUUUGCUACUUAAUCAAUUUCUUUGCUCGUUUCAUUCAUUUUAAGUCUUUCAUUUACUAAGUCAUGUUUGAAUCGGAGGUUCUAAAAUAAUGGAACAGAUAGCACAGCGGAAUAUAAUGUAUAAACAAAUGUAUUACUUAGAAACAUGAGAUCCAAUACACAACUUCUUAACAGU
rnacentral:lncRNA from 1 species